rnacentral:rRNA from 1 species
GUGAGUCGACCCCUAAGGCGAGGCCGAAAGGCGUAGUCGAUGGGAAACAGGUUAAUAUUCCUGUACUUGGUGUUACUGCGAAGGGGGGACGGAGAAGGCUAUGUUAGCCGGGCGACGGUUGUCCCGGUUUAAGCAUGUAGGCUGAUUAUCCAGGCAAAUCCGGAUAAUCAAGGCUGAGGUGUGAUGACGAGGCACUACGGUGCUGAAGUAACAAAUGCCCUGCUUCCAGGAAAAGCCUCUAAGCAUCAGGUAACAUCAAAUCGUACCCCAAACCGACACAGGUGGUCAGGUA